rnacentral:rRNA from 1 species
UACGUAGGGUGCGAGCGUUAAUCGGAAUUACUGGGCGUAAAGCGUGCGCAGGCGGUAAGUUAAGUCUGAUGUGAAAGCCCCGGGCUCAACCUGGGAAUGGCAUUGGAAACUGGCUUGCUGGAGUGUGGCAGAGGGGGGUGGAAUUCCGCGUGUAGCAGUGAAAUGCGUAGAGAUGCGGAGGAACACCGAUGGCGAAGGCAGCCCCCUGGGCUGACACUGACGCUGAGGCACGAAAGCGUGGGGAGCAAACAGG